UCUUCCUCCCAGUGAACUCUGCAUACUACUGCCUCCCAAUACAAGUCCAUCUCGUCUUUUGAAGGGAACACAGGUCCAUCUCUGCUAGCAAGCCGUUCUGCAUCAUUAAGAAAAAUCAACCAUAAAUAUUUCUCUACCCAUCUCUAGGGUGUAAAAGGGACGUGUUUGCUCAAGCAACUUCCACGAGAAGCAGCCAUGGCUCCCUGGUCGCUUGCUGCAUGCCAUGAGGGGCGCAGUUUGCUUUAGAGCAAUCGCUGCAAGCAGAGGCUUCUCGAUCUACUCUCCGCUCAUGCUCCCUAUUGCAGCUCUUUUAUAAGUAGGAUCAGCAAGACCCAACAUCCAUCCAUCGUGAAGCAAAAGGAAGCGGAAAUGACGAUGGUCCUGGAUGCCUUUGCAUCCUACGUGCAAAACAUGCUCACGGAGAUGGUGAGUGAAGAGGUGCACAUGCUGCUUGGAGUCGGAGACGAGAUCAAGAAGAUGGAUGUCAAGCUUAAGGACCUCAAGAACUUCCUCGCCGACGCUGACCGGAGAAACAUCACGGACGAGAGCGUGCAGGAGUGGGCGGCCCAGCUCAAGCGUGCCAUGUACGAAGCUACCGGAAGUAUAAAGCUAGGGUGGUUACAAUGGAGAUGAAGUAUAAAGCUACCGGAAGUAUAGUCUAUGAUAGUAGAUGUGCAAAACUACCGCUAGCCCCGCCCUAUAUAUAUAGUGAGGGAUAGGGUUUACUAGGGAUCUACCCGAUCUCAGGCCGCCGACAACUUGGCUUGCAUGCCAAGAUGGUCUCUCAAGCCUUAUCCGAGCUCCUAGGCCGGCCACUGAGAGCGGGUCUUUGCUAGGACUCUUGGGCCCCGAGGCAGGCCUGCCAUCAGGCUUCUCAUCAAGAGGCCACCCCACAGUGUAU